GACGUAGGGCGCGAGCGUUGUCCGGAUUUAUUGGGCGUAAAGAGCUCGUAGGCGGCUCGUUGCGUCGGCUGUGAAAACCCGCAGCUCAACUGUGGGCUUGCAGCCGAUACGGGCGGGCUAGGAUUCGGUAGGGGAGACUGGAAUUCCUGGUGUAACGGUGAAAUGCGCAGAUAUCAGGAGGAACACCGGUGGCGAAGGCGGGUCUCCUGGGACGGUACUGACGCUGAGACGCGAAAGCGUGGGGAGCGAACAGG
rnacentral:rRNA from 1 species